CUUUCCCUUUCAGUUAUUAUUUUAACCUUUACGAGCCUAAUGGGCUGCUCAGGCAAGUAGAUGGAUGUGAUUUUUUUGCCAGCAGUCACUAAUACAAACAGGCCACAUCACAAUGAUAAGCCCUGUGUGUGAUCCAUGGGCUUCUGCAGCUCCCAGUCACCUGAGGACUACUCCCAGACAAAGGUGUCCCAGAGUGAAGCAGGAUGAGACAAGGGGCCAUUGAGUGCUAACAAUGAGCUACCCACCCUUCCUGGCUAUAGACUACUUCCUCAAAGAGCUUCCCCUGAUGGGGGCAGGAAACAAGGGGGCAAAGCAAGAAUUGCUGUGAAGCCAUACGGACUUAUCUACUCUUUCUGGAUCUGCUCACUUUCUAGUGAGGAGAUUAGUGAAGUGGGUCCAAAGAAAGGAAGCAUGAAGCCCAUAGAAACCAAUAUUUUCCCCUUAGGAGUACAUGAAAACUCAUCCAGGUCCUUUGCAACUGGUUUGACUGAAAGAACCCUUUGUCAGUCUGGGGAAGCCCAUGAACCUCUUCUCAGAAUAAUAUUUUGAAGUGAAUAAAACACACAGAAUAACAAAAGGAACCAAAGAAAUUCCAAAGAGGGUUAUCCUUGCCCUCAGGAGUGCCUGUGCCUGCCAUGAUAAUUUCAAUCUACUACAUUAUGGGAUCUGGAGCUUCUUCUGGCACUUGUAUUAGUAUUAUCCCAUUCUGAGAUGGUGUAUUUGCCUUUCUCUGUGUUAUAGAUUUGGACUGAAGGAAACCUCAGAAAGCCUAUUGUACUUUGGCUCCUCUCUGAGAAGGUCAUAAUAAUCCUCAUUCUCUUACAUAUUCUGAAAGAAGCUAAAGAGAAAAUCUACAAAUAAGACAAAGAUUUAGCUGGCCCAAUAUGUGUGGUCCCUGAAAUAUAAUGGUCGCCGAAAUUGUGAAAUUAGAGUCUGUUUUAUUGUAUCCAAAUAACCAAGAUCUUUAACUUAGAUGAAAGUGAAAUUGGGGGGUUCCCCUAGAUUCUGAUGAUCCUUUAUCCUUCUGUUACCUUUUAUAAAGUACUCACAAGGGUCACGUAUGAAGCAGAUCAAUCUUGUUCUCUUCUAGCCCAGAUUCUAUAAUGAAAGAGAAAGCAUAAGGGAUGUUAUUACCUGAGAAUGAUUC
rnacentral:lncRNA from 1 species